GAGGGAAUUUAUUGAACUAUGAGUCAGAAACAUUUAAUGAGAAUAGAUCAAGUUGGUGGUGCUGUUCUUGAAUGUGAUUUUGCUCUUUUCUCUAGCAAAUCUAAGAUGAUGUAUUGGUUCAGGACAAACAUUUUCUAAGAUGAAAUGUUAACCAUAGCAGCAGCAUCAACUCUGAGUUAGUAUACUGAACUCAUAAUGUUUACCGGAAUUUACCAACUUAGGUUUCCCUUUUUUUGAUAGCUUUGCAUACAGCCAUGCAACUUUUUGGCCUACAUAUUGAAUAGCUACUCUCUAUACUUAUUACCUAUACCGUGUGUCAUUUUCCCUUUACUACUAUCUCAAUAAAUCUCGGAAUCUUUGAUAACCACUAUGUCAUCACUUAGCUACACGUGGUAUCUGCAGAAGGGCUUGAAACAAUGACUGAAUUGUAAAAAAUAAAGGUCCCUGUUCCCACAGUAUCUGUGUAACUUAAAAUAAAGUGUGACCCUCUGUCACUUUGCCAACUGUGCCAAUCUCCUUUCCCAUGCUUACUUCUUAUUAAGGGGAUCUUCUGACUUCGGAGUCUGGUGCGCGGCGUAACCUGGCCCCUGCCAAGGCUGGUGGAAUGAAAUCUGUAGGGGGAGUUGACUCAUGCCAUCCUGCCUUUCUGGUCAGAUCCAGCCCUUAUAAAGGAGGAGCCAUGGAGGAAUCACGCUACAGCCUCUCUCCAGCGUCCCCCUCUAUCCCUGUCCCCUGUGCCCCAUCCCCCAGUCUCCUGAGCAGGCUUAGCUCUCGCUCUGGCAUCCCAGAUUACCCAGCCAAUUAGGGUGAAGGCAAAGCCCCUUCUGCCACAGCGGCUGGUGCUGCUGCAGCAUGCUUAGUAGCUAUGGCCCUUUGCUAUGGGAGGUUAGGAUUGCAUCCAGCAUUGACUGGAAGGCUUGCAAGUCACCCUGGGGGAAGAGUGCUGGAAGGGGUCUUACGUCAAAGAGGAUGUACCGUCUAUGUCAAUGUGACAGAUGAUGCAGGGUUUACAUACUGAAGCAUGAGAUUUACUUGGUAGUUGCAAAUGUCGUGAACGAUAGUGAUGCAUUGAAUACAUACAAUGGUAUUUUGUGAUCCUUGUAUAUUUUCCCAAGCAUUGAGUUGAAUCUGAACUGUAUACAAUAAUGGAUUGAUUGUACCGUCUGUAUGAGGAAAUCCAAUUUCAUUAUAUCUCAGACAACAGCUCCACCUGGUGACACAUAAUAGUUCAGGACACAUUUUUAGACAGUCUACUAGGGGACACUGAAAACGCAGGAUAUCAAAAUGAUGUUGUUUCAAAUGAUUGACUGACAUCUCUGGGCUGUCAGUCAGUCAGUCAGUCAGUCAGUCAGUCAGACAGACAGACAGACAGACAGACAUGGUGUGUGGGUAAAAUCACUGGGGAAGCCAAUUCAGGAAAAAAGCCAUAUUACAACCUGUGUUGUGAUAUUUGCGUUUUUUGCUCUAUAAAUCAUUUUAGUUCAAACCCCCACCGUGAUAUACAUUGUGAACAAAACAUUAGGAACACCUUCUUCCAUUCUAUUUCCAUGACAUAGACUGACCAGGUGAGUCCAGGUGAAAGCUAUGAUCCCUUAUUGAUGUCACCUGUUAAAUCCACUUCAAUCAGUGUAGAUGAAGCGGAGGAGACAGGUUAAAGAAGGAUUUUUAAGCCUUGAGAUCAUAGAGACAUGGAUUGUGUAUGUGUGCCAUUCAAUUGUAGUCAAUAUGGGCCAGCAUCCCUGUGGAAUGCUUUCGACAGCUUGUAGAGUCCAUGCAUUGAGACUGUGAAUGAGGGGUGAAUAUUAUGUACACUCAGUGUAAAAGGCAGAGACAACAAGAAGACGAUAGUCACACAGUGGGCAGAAUCAGUGGUGGAAAAAAGUACCCAAAUGUCAUACUCGAGUAAAAGCAGAUAACUUAAUAGAAAAUUACUCAAGUAAAAGUGAGUCACCCAGUCAAAUCUAUUUGAGUAAAAAUCUAAAAGUAUUUGGUUUUAAAUAUACUUUAGUAUCAAAAGUAAAUGUAAUUGCAGAAAUAUACUUAAGAUUUAAAAGGAAAAGUAUAAAUAAUGUCUAAUUCCUUAUAUUAGGCAAACCAGACGGCACAAUUGUCUUGCUUGUUUUAUGCCUAGCUCGGGGCACACUCCAACACGCCAAUACUCAGACAUAAUGUACAAACUAAGCAAACUAAAUCUGCCAGAUCAGAGACAGUAGGGGUGAGCAGGGUUGCUCUCUUGAUAAGUGUGUGAAUUGGACCAUUUUCCUGUCCUGGAAAAUACAUGGAGUAAAAAGUACAUUAUUUUCUUUAGGAAUGUAGUAAAGUAAAAGUUGUCAAAAAUAUAAAUGGUAAAGUGCAGUACAGAUACACCAAUAAACAACUAAGUAGUACAUUAAAGUAGUUUGACUAAAGUACCUUACACCACUGGGCAGAAUCAAUUCAACCACACAUUUGUUUCAUCACAAAACCAGAGAGACGUAUUUGUCUGGUGAAGUCCACAAAGCAUAUUGCAUGUAACAAACAGAUUGAUGAACUACAGCAGGGAUGGGCAACUGGCGGCCUGUGGAUCAAUAAAAAUAAAUCAUUAAGAACUCAAUUGAGGUUAGAAUAGUAGAAUAUACAGGGUGCCAUUUUGAAAAGGUAGUUGUGCCUCAGCAGUUUUUCUCUUGUUAUGUCAGUCACUGACAGUCACUCAAUAAGUCCAUGUCAGCUAACAUUUUUUGUUAGUCUAAUGUCCAGCUUUCUAAACUUGUAGUAAUCAUGGUCGAAUUACCAACUGGGGGGCCCCCAUUGAUUUAAUUAGUCACUUUCACAAAAAAAUAUUAAAUAUUAAUUGCAAACAUUACUCUCCAGAAUUGCAGAAAAUGUGAUGUAAAACUGCAAAAUCUUCUCUACACCCCAUGGGAAAAUGUGAAGAAUUGCCUGAAAUUGGUAAAUCUUCUCUACACCCCAUGGGAAAAUGUGAAGAAUUGCCUGAAAUUGGUAAAUCUUCUCUACACCCCAUGGGAAAAUGUGAAGAAUUGCGUGAAAUUGGUAAAUCUUCUCUACACCCCAUGGGAAAAUGUGAAGAAUUGCCUGAAAUUGGUAAAUCUUCUCUACACCCCAUGGGAAAAUGUGAAGAAUUGCCUGAAAUUGGUAAAUCUUCUCUUUGGUCCGUGGCAAAAUGUGUAUAAUUGCAGCAAACUUGCUUUAAAAAUGUUUUUUAAAAACACCCCAUGGUCAAAUUUGUAAAACUGCAGGAAAUGAAAUUUAAAACUUGAUGUUUUGCUUGCAAAAUGUCUGACUACUAAACAAUUAUUGAUUGAGAACCACAGAGUUAUCACAAGUGGCAAAAAAACCAGGAGAGGCCUCUGCUAAAGUAAAUCCACCAUCAUUUCAACUUCCAAAUCAUCAAAUCACCAAUGCUUAGUCUAACAGAGUAGCAACUUAAAGAUCAGGACCAAAAACAAUUUAGUCCAAUCAACAUAAGCUAAAUAACAUGUGGCUGUCCAUGGUCCUGAUUGUGUGUGCGCAAGUAGAAAAACAAUGAUUUACCUUACUUGUAGAGGAUCGCCAAUGCAAUCCUCCUCUCUGUCAUACAGUAGCCUACACACUUUUAGUUUUUGUUGUCCUCGAUUAGGCUACAUGGCUAAAAGGCUUGCCAGCUAGCCUAACUUAAUUUAAAGGGCAAUGAUGAGCCAGCUAGUUAACGUUAGCCUACUACAUCUAGCUACAUAUUGAACUUCCACCCUCUCAGGCCAGGAGCACAAAGUAUGAAUUUAUGGUUGGAUCUGAAUCACCGUUGUAAUCACUGUCCAGUACAGUAAGUCCACAAGUCCAAAUCCUUAUCUCCCAUCUAAUUUUUCCUUUUCUCCAUCCAAGCUCCAAGGGUCGAUUUUAGCUAGCCACCGGAGGACAACGACACAACGAGAUGCAAAAAUGCACCUUUUUUCGUCAAUGCUUUUGAUGCAAUGUGAUUGGUGUGAAGUCACAUCCAAACUAGCUUCCAUUGGGACUUUUUUUGGUGCACCAGGACCAUUCACAAUUGAGCUCACACAGUUUAGCUCAAUGCUUGAUUGGUUAUUUUUUUUAAAUUUAAACAUUACCAAGGGAGGCAAAAUGCUUGCUAGCUUCCCUUGCUAUGAAAUUCAAUGCUACGGGCAGCAACAAUGGCAUACUCUUUUUGGCCAGACAGCAUCAGAUAGAU